GACGAACGCUGGCGGCGUGCUUAACACAUGCAAGUCGAACGGAAAGGCCCUGCUUUUGUGGGGUGCUCGAGUGGCGAACGGGUGAGUAACACGUGAGUAACCUGCCCUUGACUUUGGGAUAACUUCAGGAAACUGGGGCUAAUACCGGAUAGGAGCUCCUGCUGCAUGGUGGGGGUUGGAAAGUUUCGGCGGUUGGGGAUGGACUCGCGGCUUAUCAGCUUGUUGGUGGGGUAGUGGCUUACCAAGGCUUUGACGGGUAGCCGGCCUGAGAGGGUGACCGGCCACAUUGGGACUGAGAGACGGCCCAGACUCCUACGGGAGGCAGCAGUGGGGAAUAUUGCACAAUGGGCGGAAGCCUGAUGCAGCAACGCCGCGUGCGGGAGGACGGCCUUCGGGUUGUAAACCGCUUUCGCCUGUGACGAAGCGUGAGUGACGGUAAUGGGUAAAGAAGCACCGGCUAACUACGU
rnacentral:rRNA from 1 species